rnacentral:rRNA from 1 species
UUCUCCUGGAAACGGGUGGUAAUGCCGGAUGCUCCAGUUGAUCGCAUGGUCUUCUGGGAAAGCUUUCGCGGUAUGGGAUGGGGUCGCGUCCUAUCAGCUUGACGGCGGGGUAACGGCCCACCGUGGCUUCGACGGGUAGCCGGCCUGAGAGGGCGACCGGCCACAUUGGGACUGAGAUACGGCCCAGACUCCUACGGGAGGCAGCAGUGGGGAAUAUUGCACAAUGGGCGCAAGCCUGAUGCAGCGACGCCGCGUGAGGGAUGGAGGCCUUCGGGUUGUAAACCUCUUUUAUCGGGGAGCAAGCGAGAGUGAGUUUACCCGUUGAAUAAGCACCGGCUAACUACGUGCCAGCAGCCGCGGUAAUACGUAGGGUGCAAGCGUUAUCCGGAAUUAUUGGGCGUAAAGGGCUCGUAGGCGGUUCGUCGCGUCCGGUGUGAAAGUCCAUCGCUUAACGGUGGAUCCGCGCCGGGUACGGGCGGGCUUGAGUGCGGUAGGGGAGACUGGAAUUCCCGGUGUAACGGUGGAAUGUGUAGAUAUCGGAAAGAACACCA